AUUGAACGCUGGCGGAAUGCUUUACACAUGCAAGUCGAACGGCAACACGGGUGCUUGCACCUGGUGGCGAGUGGCGAACGGGUGAGUGAUAUAUCGGAACGUAUCCAAUAAUGGGGGAUAACUAGCCGAAAGGUUAGCUAAUACCGCAUACGCCCUGAGGGGGAAAGCUGGGGAUCGUAAGACCUAGCGUUGAUGGAGCGGCCGAUAUCUGAUUAGCUAGUUGGUGGGGUAAGAGCCUACCAAGGCGACGCUCAGUAGCUGGUCUGAGAGGACGACCAGCCACACUGGAACUGAGACACGGUCCAGACUCCUACGGGAGGCAGCAGUGGGGAAUUUUGGACAAUGGGGGCAACCCUGAUCCAGCCAUUCCGCGUGAGUGAAGAAGGCCUUCGGGUUGUAAAGCUCUUUCGCAAGGGAAGAAAACUCGAUCUCUAAUAUAGGUUGAGGCUGACGGUACCUUGAUAAGAAGCACCGGCUAACUACGUGCCAGCCGCCGCAGUAA
rnacentral:rRNA from 1 species